GAUGAACGCUGGCGACGUGCUUAACACAUGCAAGUCGAACGAUGAAGCCCAGCUUGCUGGGUGGAUUAGUGGCGAACGGGUGAGUAACACGUGAGUAACCUGCCCUUAACUCUGGGAUAAGCCUGGGAAACUGGGUCUAAUACCGGAUAGGAGCGUCCACCGCAUGGUGGGUGUUGGAAAGAUUUAUCGGUUUUGGAUGGACUCGCGGCCUAUCAGCUUGUUGGUGAGGUAAUGGCUCACCAAGGCGACGACGGGUAGCCGGCCUGAGAGGGUGACCGGCCACACUGGGACUGAGACACGGCCCAGACUCCUACGGGAGGCAGCAGUGGGGAAUAUUGCACAAUGGGCGCAAGCCUGAUGCAGCGACGCCGCGUGAGGGAUGACGGCCUUCGGGUUGUAAACCUCUUUCAGUAGGGAAGAAGCGAAAGUGACGGUACCUGCAGAAGAAGCACCAGCUAACUACGUG
rnacentral:rRNA from 1 species